GAGGGGCCCGCGUCGGAUUACCUAGUUGGCGGGGUAAUGGCCCACCAAGGCUACGAUCCGUAGCUGGUCUGAGAGGAUGAUCAGCCACACUGGGACUGAGACACGGUCCAGACUCCUACGGGAGGCAGCAGUGGGGAAUUUUUGGCAAUGGGGGCAACCCUGACCAAGCAACGCCGCGUGGGUGAUGAAGUCUCUUGGGACGUAAAACCCUUUCGACGGGGACGAAACCGCAAGGUUGACGGUACCCGUAGAAGAAGCCCCGGCUAACUCCGUGCCAGCAGCCGCGGUAAUACGGGGGGGGCAAGCGUUGUUCGGAAUUACUGGGCGUAAAGGGCGCGUAGGCGGUGCUCUAAGUCGGAUGUGAAAACUCUGGGCUCAACCCAGAGCCUGCAUCCGGAACUGGAGUGCUAGAGUUCUGGAGGGGGUAGCGGAAUUCCUGGUGUAGCGGUGAAAUGCGUAGAUAUCAGGAGG
rnacentral:rRNA from 1 species